GCACUUUAAGCAGUGAAGAAGACUCCGUGGUUAAUACCCACGGACGAUGACAUUAGCUGCAGAAUAAGCACCGGCUAACUCUGUGCCAGCAGCCGCGGUAAUACAGAGGGUGCAAGCGUUAAUCGGAAUUACUGGGCGUAAAGGGAGCGUAGGUGGCUUGAUAAGUCAGAUGUGAAAUCCCCGGGCUCAACCUGGGAACUGCAUCUGAAACUGUAGAGCUAGAGUAUGUGAGAGGGAGGUAGAAUUUCAGGUGUAGCGGUGAAAUGCGUAGAGAUCUGAAGGAAUACCGAUGGCGAAGGCAGCCUCCUGGCAUAAUACUGACACUGAGGCUCGAAAGCGUGGGUAGCAAACAGGAUUAGAUACCCUGGUAGUCCACGCCGUAAACGAUGUCUACUAGUCGUUGG
rnacentral:rRNA from 1 species